AACGAACGCUGGCGGCAGGCCUAACACAUGCAAGUCGAACGCUCUAGCAAUAGGGAGUGGCGCACGGGUGAGUAACGCGUAGGAAUCUACCCAUUAGCCUGGGAUAACAGCGGGAAACUGCCGCUAAUACCGGAUCCGCCCCUUCGGGGGGCAAGGUGUAAUACUAGUGGAGGAGCGUGCGUUGGCUUGGAUAGUUGGUGAGGGAAUGGCUCACCAAGGCUCCGAUCGAUAGCCGGUCUGAGAGGACGAUCGGCGACACUGGGGGUGAGAAACAGCCCAGACUCCUGCGGGAGGCAGCAGUGGGGAAUAUUGGGAAAUGGCCGGAAGCAUGACCCAGCCAUGCCGCGUGAGUGAUGAAGGCCUGAGGGUUGUAAAGCUCUUUUAGUAGUGAAGAUGAUGACAGUAGCUACAGAAAAAGCCCCGGCUAACUUCGUGCCAGCAGCCGCCGUAACAC
rnacentral:rRNA from 1 species